CAGUCAAUACAGCUCUCUGAGGGGCCAGUGGAUGAUGUAAUUGGUCCAGCAGACACACAUCGUGAUGUAAUUGGUCCAGCAGACACACAUCAUCUGUAUUCUACAGACAACCACUGCUUUAUGAUGGCCUGACAGCGAUCAUUGACCAUCCACAGGCCUUUCAUCAGGUCUUACACUCCAUAGGCCCCUAAGGGGACUGGCUUCCUAUUGAAAACUAUGGCUGAAAGGAGAAAAGAGAGUGGUUGUCGGUGACACAUUUUCUGCCACACAAAGAAUCCUAUUGGAGUUGACUGUGAGGACUGGAUGUCUGUAGAGCAGAGUGGAGAUAACAUGACUGGGGCACGGCUCAUUAGUGUAAACCGGAUCAUCACAGUGAGGAUAAAUGGACAUUUUGGCCUGUCCACCUCCAAUAUGGAGAGCAAGUGGAGCAUUUGGAAUGAGACCAAUUUAGCAGCUUAAGA